AUACGGAGGGGGCUAGCGUUGUUCGGAAUUACUGGGCGUAAAGCGCACGUAGGCGGCGCACGCAGUCAGAGGUGAAAGCCCUGGGCUCAACCCAGGAACUGCGUUUAAUACUGAUAAACUAGAGUCCGGGAGAGGGUAGUGGAAUUCCCAGUGUAGAGGUGAAAUUCGUAGAUAUUGGGAAGAACACCAGUUGCGAAGGCGGCUACCUGGCCCGGUACUGACGCUGAGGUGCGAAAGCGUGGGGAGCAAACAGGAUUAGAAACCCGAGUAGUCC
rnacentral:rRNA from 1 species